ensembl:lncRNA
CAGAAUUCACAUCAUGAUGGUGCUACUCAACCUGCUACAAAUAUAUCAUAAUGUGAGCUAAGAAUUCAUUAAAGGUUUGAGUGAUGUUCCUACUUGUCAUAUACCUCAACACUAGUUUGGCAAUAGGAUAUUGAACUGAGAGUGAAAGCUUAUAGCAUUGUGUACCAUCAUUUUUUUCCAAGGCUUUUUUUUUUUAGUUAAAGAAAAACAUACCUUUUUCCAAUACUUGAUUUCUUAGCAAGUAUAACUUGAACUUCAACCUUUUUGUUCUAAAAAUUCAGGGAUAUUUCAGCUCAUGUUCUCCUUAUGCCAACACGUCACCUGUGUUCAUGUAAAAUUGUUGUAGGUUAAUAAAUAUAUUCUUUUUCAGGGAUUUAACCCUUUUAUUUUGAAUCCCUCCUAUUUUACUUGUCUAUGUCCUGAUGUAACUAAAACUAAUCUUGUAAAUCUGUUGGCUGUUUUUAUUGUAAAGAAAAGCAUUUUAAGAGUUUGGAAAAUCUUUUGACUGUUUCAAGCAGAAAAAAAAUUACAUGAAAAUAGAAUGCACUGAGUUGAUAAAGGGAAAAUUGUUAAGUCAGGAGUUUGGCAAGUGGCUGUUGGCUAGAGUCUUUAACUCUCUAAAUGAAAGAUGUUUUUACCCUAUAAUCAAUACAGGUACAGAUCCACAGGACUUUUCUACACAAGCAAACACUUAGGGGGAUGGUGUGCAAUCAACUGUACAAUUAUGUCUUAGUCUGUGCACAUUUUUGCUUACUAACAUUUCAAAUAAACUCUUAAUCAAUGGAGGCCUUUGAGUUUUAUUGGUCAAAUCUUAAUGGAUUUUUUUUGGAGGGGGUCAAAACAUGGCUUUUGUCUUUAAAAAAAAUUUUUUUUCUCUAGUUUUUGGCCGUGACCAGUUUACAAGCAUUUCAAGAACAUUUGCUUUAUAUAUGUCAAACUGCAUGAUUUGAAUGUUUUGCAUACGCCAGGAAGUCUAGUUUGGGGGGUUGAGGAGAGGCUAGGUAGGAAGGAGAAGAAAUUAAGUGGCAUAUUGUAAAUAUCAGAUCUAUAAUUGUAAAUAUCAAACCUGCCUCAGAAUGAAUGGAAAGCAGAUCUCCAAUUUGCUUAUAUAGGAAUAUCAGGUUGACUAUAUAGCCAUACUUGAAAAUGCUUCUGAGUGGUGUCAACUUUACUUGAAUGAAUUUUUCAUCCUGAUUGACGCACAGUGGUGUACAGUUCACUUCUAAAGCUAGUGGUUAACUUGUGUAGGAAACUUCUGCAGUCUGACACUAAGAUAAUGAGUUCUGUGUGCAUUUUUCUACGCUUUUUUUAAAAACUUAUUUUCAUGAGAUGUUUGGUUUGUCUAUAAAAAUCUGAGGAUGGUUAUAAAUACUGUAAGUAUUGUAAUGUUAUGAAUGCAGGUUAUUUGAAAGCGUUUAUUAUUAUAUCAUUCCUGAUAACGCUAUGUGAGUG